rnacentral:rRNA from 1 species
GACGAACCGUGCGAACGUUGUUCGGAAUCACUGGGCUUAAAGGGCGCGUAGGCGGGCUGUCAAGUCCGGGGUGAAAUCUUUCGGCUCAACCGGGAAAGUGCCUUGGAUACUGAUGGUCUGGAAGGAGGUAGGGGUAUGUGGAACUUCCGGUGGAGCGGUGAAAUGCGUUGAUAUCGGAAGGAACGCCGGUGGCGAAAGCGACGUACUGGACCUCUUCUGACGCUGAGGCGCGAAAGCUAGGGGAGCGAACGGG